rnacentral:misc_RNA from 1 species
GACCGCGUGGGGGAGCGGGAUCCCGCCGGUCCGAGCAGACGGCGGUGGAGGCGCGGCUCGUUGGCGGUUGUGAAGCCAUGGGGAACAUCAUGGGAAGGAAAAAGGUGGUGGCAUGGGAAGGAAGACGACGACGGUGUGGCGAGGAGCAAGCGGGGCCGGGCCGAGCCGAGGGAUCUGGCGCGGUGGGGGAGGCUUGGAUUGCGGCGACCGCCGUGGAUGGAAGGGUGCGGUGGGGAGGCGUGGAUUGCGGCUCUAGCGCGGUGGGGGGAGCAAUUGAGAGCGGCUGUGGCGUGGUGGGAGCACAUCCGUGCGAUGAGGAGUGGAGGGAGAGGAUUGUGCGGCAGAACAUGGUGCACGAUUGUGAAG